rnacentral:lncRNA from 1 species
GCACUGAGGGGCCCUGGACAAGGCCUGGGCUCGGGACAGCAGCUCUGCCCACUGUGGGGUCUGCUUGGCGGCAGCCCAUGCCGCUUUUCUAUCAGAGUGGGAAACUUUUUGAGAAGUGACUGUGGUUCAUCUGUGAAUGGUGGCAGUUCACAUGCACGCCUGCUGGGUCCAGUGGACUUUCCUGCCUUCUGGGUCCCCCUAACUUUCUGCCUGUCUGGGAGGUGGGGGGAGCCAAGCCUCUGGGGAGGGCCAGGAGGUCACAGCCGGUUUCUCUUGUCCUCAGGGAGGCUGUCCAGGAGGCCCAGGCAGCAGUGUGGCCAUGCCGGGGGCAUCCACAGCAGUGGGGCUGGGGCUCAGGUCCAGGCUGCCCUCUCUCCUCCAGGGCCACAUGGAGGUGGUAACUAACAGCAGCCACAUGGAAAGGGGGCACCAGCUUCUCUCUUCCUCCAGGGGGCCUUUCCCUCUGUGGGUGCCUCUCAGUUCUCCACUCCCCCUUCCCCACAAAGAGCUCCAGCCUGCCCAGCCAGGCAGCAGCUGCCACAGCCCAGGAACCCAAGAAAUGUGCUUGGCUGCCUCUGCACAUUGCAGACUGCAGAGAUGUGGCCGUGCCUGUGGCAGGAGAGUCUGGACACCCCUGGGUUGUUCUUCACAGAGACAAGCCUGGAUGGGUCGUGCUGGAUUGUCUUGCUGGUGAGGGACAGGUGGAUUCAUUUUGGGUCCUGGGGCUGCUCUCUGCUCCAGGCAGGGCCAGGGCCCAGCUGGACCCUUCUGCUCGGAAGAAUCUCUGUUGGCACCAGCCUGGUCCACAGCAGCCAGCACGCCCUUGGCUUUCUCCCACCAAGUCACCUGCAGUGCACCUCACUCCAAGUCCUGAACCCUCACCUGUGGACUCACCUUGGCAAAGGGAGGGGGGCUGGGACUUCCUCCUCCUCCUCCUCCUCCUCCUCUUUUCUCUCCCAGGCUGGGUGGUGGCCCUUCCUGCCACUGGCACCUAGCUUUGAGGUCUCGUCAAUCUCUGCAGGCUUUUCAGACUCCCAGCUCCACACGGUGUAGAAGUUCCCCUUCCUUCACAGAGAGUUCAAAAUGCAAUAGGAAAAAUAUUGAUAAGAUUAAUAUUCUGAAGGGCUUACCUCCCACUUGCCAAGUCACUUAAACCCUGUUCAGUUGGUUCAUUGGGCACUGGUGAGCACCAGGGGCUUCAGGAUGGGAAGGUGGCCUCUGUGUUUGGCUGUGAACUGGCCUUGACUGGGAGUUCAUGGAGGCCGGGCAGCAGGCCACAAAGACCAGGUGGGGAGCAGGCCCUUUGGGGUGCCCUACUGCAGUGCUGACCCUGGAUACCCACUUGGGCUGCUCACCAUCAUUUCAGGUGGGCCCUGCGGCAUGGCAGGGACAGAGGUGACUGAGGUGGGUGACCACUGAGGAGUGAUAAAGGGGAUAGAAGGGACAGGGGACCGGGGAGGGAGCCUAGGAGAAGGUGGCCAGAGUGGAGAUGC